CUGAGAGGAUAUCGCGACUCUGCCAAGGUGCGCGAAAACGUCCCGCGACACCUUGAGACCGAAUUAAAAUUCUCCCCGUGGCUUGGAGGCAGCUGGAAUACGCCGGUGAUAUUUUUCCUCAUGGAGUCCGUGGGAUACGAGCCUUGCGAAUCGCUUUGCACGCGAUACGCGCAAUCGUCGGAAAAUCAUCGUUACAGGCAAACCAAGUCGGAAACGUCCUUCGCCGGAAGAUCGAUCAAGAAUCGGAAUCGACGGCGACCCUCGCCGUGACCAUCUCGCCCAAUCACGGUCGUCGGAUCUAUCGUAGAUUCGCCGACGUAUCUCGAUUAAUCACCCUUCCCUCCCCCCUGGAUUUACGCGAAUUCCCGGACCUCUCGUUGCCGAGAUCGGAUCGAGCUCGUUGGACCGAUUCGAGAUCUCGGAUAUCUCGGGCCGCGUGUCGCUUAUCUCUCGUACCGCCUUUCCUUUUUCAUAACUCUAUCAAAGGAUACGUUCAAGGUCCGGUGAUCAUCGAGGAGAACUCGAUCGAGAAACAAACGCUGGCCGAGGCGAAGGGAAGAGCAUCGAGCACGCGGCGAUUGCUCGAAUUAGUCAAUGUACGAGGUCAAGAAGGAGAGGAGCAGCAACGAGAUGAUUUCGAGUUCCGUCCGAGCGACGAGGUCGCAGAGCCCGAAUUUGACCGUCGAUCGUCGCCUUAAGGGUCUUCCGAUACGACUCGAUGCCUCUUAUCGGUACAUCCUCCGAGGGGCUUAAGAGUGUUUUGCGGGUAUGCGUUAAUGUCGUCCCCGCCGUGAUUAACGAGUAACGCUAGGAAAUGAGGUCUGGACGCCGAUAACCUUCGACCGAGAUCAAACAGCCGGCUGUCGCUCUUCGUGGCGCGACCUCGAUCCAGCAACCGCUGGAAAGCGCGAUGUAGCUCUUGGUCGGUCUCGUAAAUACUAGCUAUUUACUUGGCCAGCGAUAACCAAAAUCGUAUGUUGCCCAAUCCGUGGACGCGUCGAACCAAAUGACAACGAAACCGCUUUCGACGAGAAAAUCCCCCCAAGGGCUCGUUGCACCUUGUGCGCCUUAAGGUGUAUGAAAGUACACGGGUAUCAAAACUGUCAACGGUUAAGUUCCCUCGUUGCGAGGAUCGUUGCAUCAGGAAAGGUAUCCUGUGUCGUAUGUCUGCCUUAGCGAGUUGCAUAACUCUCGAGAGGAUGUACGCUCUUACGAUGGAGCAAACGUGGGAAUGAGUCAGACUCAUAAGCCGAGCAACAAAAUAUCCUCGGCCUACACGCUUCAAAUUGACAUCAUGUACGCGGUGAUCGAGAAAAAACGGCACUUUCUUCCUAGUGCGAUCUUGGUUGAGUACGCUGCAAAACGACGUACCGGAUGUAGUCCAAGACGAAGAGCCGUCCUUCGAGUUACCGAGCCAAAAAUGAUUUACGAGAAGGCAAUUUAUUGUUUGAUCUUGUUUGCUGCCGUAAAAAGUCCCCGUGGGUCAGGAGGGGACGUCGGAGUUAAGAAAUACUUGCUGCGGAAUGAUCACACAAUGUGCCCUCGUUCUAUGACCGGUACGUCGUUUAUUCGAUUUAAAACUGCCAAGUAGAUACGCAUCUCGUGGGUGGGUCAUUCAUCUGCGAUUUCUGGAGUGAUUAAUUACCCCGCCAAUUUUCCUCGAUUAAGACGAUCAAGGCAUUUAAUCGAAUGUACCUUUACCCAAAUGAUCUUGUUUAUUCAGGACGCUGAGUCAGCUUCGAUGAUAAUCCCUUGUAUGCAUAAAGUUUAAUUAAAAACGCUCGUUUUUAUAGUGUAACACGAACCGGUGAUAAUGACAUUUUACGCGUUUUAUUAUGAAAAAAACUUUUAUGUACAAUUGCAUCGCCGUUAUUAUCCGUUCUUCCGUACAUCUACGCUUGUAACAAACACUACACGACGUCUGUAAGAAACUUCUUAAUUAUAUUUUAAGUUCUGA